GGGGGUAAGCCUUAGAGCCUCCACCGCAAUCGUGUUAAUAGUCACGCUUUUGGCCGAGCUUGGCGGUUAGUGAAUC
ncrna:unclassified sequences L13-Bacteroidia ribosomal protein leader